rnacentral:rRNA from 1 species
GACGAACGCUGGCGGCGUGCUUAACACAUGCAAGUCGAACGGUGACCCUCGGAGCUUGCUUCGGGGUGAGCAGUGGCGAACGGGUGAGUAACACGUGAGUAACCUGCCCCUGACUCUGGAAUAAGCGCUGGAAACGGCGUCUAAUACCGGAUACGACACGCCUCCGCAUGGGGAGCGUGUGGAAAGUUUUUCGGUCUGGGAUGGACUCGCGGCCUAUCAGCUUGUUGGUGAGGUAAUGGCUCACCCAGGCGAUGACGGGUAGCCGGCCUGAGGGGGCGACCGGCCACACUGGGACUGAGACACGGCCCAGACUCCUACGGGAGGCAGCAGUGGGGAAUAUUGCACAAUGGGCGAAAGCCUGAUGCAGCGACGCCGCGUGAGGGAUGACGGCCUUCGGGUUGUAAACCUCUUUCAGCAGGGAAGAAGCGAAAGUGACGGUACCUGCAGAAGAAGCACCGGCUAACUACGUGCCAGCCGCCGCAGUAAUAC